AACGAACGCUGGCGGCAGGCUUAACACAUGCAAGUCGAGCGCCCCGCAAGGGGAGCGGCAGACGGGUGAGUAACGCGUGGGAAUCUACCCAUCUCUACGGAAUAACGCAUGGAAACGUGUGCUAAUACCGUAUACGUCCUCCGGGAGAAAGAUUUAUCGGAGAUGGAUGAGCCCGCGUUGGAUUAGCUAGUUGGUGGGGUAAAGGCCUACCAAGGCGACGAUCCAUAGCUGGUCUGAGAGGAUGAUCAGCCACACUGGAACUGAGACACGGCCCAGACUCCUACGGGAGGCAGCAGGGGGGAAUAUUGGACAAUGGGCGCACGCCUGAUCCAGCCAUGCCGCGUGAGUGAUGAAGGCCCUAGGGUUGUAAAGCUCUUUCACCGGUGAAGAUAAUGACGGCAACCGGAGAAGAAGCCCCGGCUAACUUCGUGCCAGCAGCCGCCGUAAAAC
rnacentral:rRNA from 1 species